rnacentral:sRNA from 1 species
UGCAUUUGAAGCCCAUGAGGAUGAGAACCUCCGGGGGCGGGGAGGUUCGACUCGAGCGAAGCGAGAGAACGUUGCGCCAGCAACGCCGCAGGCAGGGCGAGCCACGAAGUGGCGAGUAAUCCUCUAUCACCGACCA